rnacentral:rRNA from 1 species
AGUUGAUCCUGGCUCAGGAUGAACGCUAGCUACAGGCUUAACACAUGCAAGUCGAGGGGCAGCAUGGAGUUGCUUGCAAACUCUGAUGGCGACCGGCGCACGGGUGAGUAACGCGUAUCCAACCUUCCCUAUAGUAGAGGAUAGCCCGGCGAAAGUCGGAUUAAUACUCUAUGUUUUCCGUUGCAGACAUCUAAGAUGGAACAAAGGCUUGCCGCUAUAGGAUGGGGAUGCGUCUGAUUAGGUAGUCGGCGGGUAACGGCCCACCGAGCCAUCGAUCAGUAGGGGUUCUGAGAGGAAGGUCCCCCACAUUGGAACUGAGACACGGUCCAAACUCCUACGGGAGGCAGCAGUGAGGAAUAUUGGUCAAUGGACGAGAGUCUGAACCAGCCAAGUAGCGUGCAGGACGACGGCCCUAUGGGUUGUAAACUGCUUUUAUGCGGGGAUAAAGUUCACUACGUGUAGUGUUUUGUAGGUACCGCAUGAAUAAGGACCGGCUAAUUCCGUGCCAGCCGCUGC